rnacentral:rRNA from 1 species
GAUGAACGCUGGCGGCGUGCCUAAUACAUGCAAGUCGAGCGAACAGACGAGGAGCUUGCUCCUCUGACGUUAGCGGCGGACGGGUGAGUAACACGUGGAUAACCUACCUAUAAGACUGGGAUAACUUCGGGAAACCGGAGCUAAUACCGGAUAAUAUAUUGAACCGCAUGGUUCAAUAGUGAAAGACGGUUUUGCUGUCACUUAUAGAUGGAUCCGCGCCGCAUUAGCUAGUUGGUAAGGUAACGGCUUACCAAGGCAACGAUGCGUAGCCGACCUGAGAGGGGGAUCGGCCACACUGGACCUGAGACACGGUCCAGACUCCUAGGGGAGGCAGCAGGAGGGAAUCUUCCGCAAUGGGCGAAACCCUGACGGAGCAACGCCGGGGGAGUGAAGAAGGUCUUCGGUUCGUAAAACUCUGUUAUUAGGGAAAAAAAAAUGUGUAAGUAACUUUGCACGUCUUGACGGUACCUAAUCAGAAAGCCACGGCUAACUACGU